AACGAACGCUGGCGGCAUGCCUAACACAUGCAAGUCGAACGAGACCUUCGGGCUUACUGGCUCAAGUGUGCGUAACGCGUUGAAACAUGCCCUUAUAAUCUGAAUAAAUCCCCGAAAUGGGUGCUAAUACCUGAUAAUGUCUUCGGACCAAAGAUUUAUCCCCUUUGGAUGGGCUCGCGUUGGAUUAGCUUGUUGGUAGGGUAAAAGCCUACCAAGGCGACUAUCCAUAGCUGGUCUGAGAGGAUGACCAGCCACAAUGGGACUGAGACACGGCCCAGACUCCUACGGGAGGCAGCAGUGGGGAAUAUUGGACAAUGGGCGAAAGCCUGAUCCAGCAAUGCCGCGUGAGUGAUGAAGGCCUUAGGGUUGUAAAGCUAUUUUACAAGGGAUGAUAAUGACAGUACCGGGAGAAUAAGCUCCGGCUAACUCCGUG
rnacentral:rRNA from 1 species